GCAUUCUUAACAUCUUGGAGUAAAAUCACCCAAGCAAGUUGAAAAAAAUCUGAUCCUUCUGCACUUUCCCCAAGAAUUUCAGAUUGGAUUUUGGAAGUUUGGACUUAAAUAGCUUUAAGAUAAUUUGGCAACCUUGUCCCUGGAAAUCUGGCACCACUGGGGCUCCUGUCUCUCAGAAUUAAAAAA